rnacentral:rRNA from 1 species
UACGUAGGUGGCAAGCGUUAUCCGGAUUUAUUGGGCGUAAAGGGAACGCAGGCGGUCUUUUAAGUCUGAUGUGAAAGCCUUCGGCUUAACCGGAGUAGUGCAUAGGAAACUGGGAGACCUGAGUGCAGAAGAGGAGAGUGGAACUCCAUGUGUAGCGGUGAAAUGCGUAGAUAUAUGGAAGAACACCAGUGGCGAAAGCGGCUCUCUGGUCUGUAACUGACGCUGAGGUUCGAAAGCGUGGGUAGCAAACAGG